AGACUGGAAGCUGGGGCAAGAACCAAGGUAGCAUUGCUAGAGAGCUGACAGCAGAGACCCAAACCCCCUUCCCAGCUACCUUCCAACACCAAGGCGCUAGUCUUCACAAAGCUCCCUGGCCAGACUAUGCAGGAGCAUCAUCCUCUUUGAGGGUAAAAGGAUGAACACACAGUAGCUGCUGAGGAUCUGGUCUUCCUGAUUCUCCAGGGAAUGGAUCCUUCAUCUUCAUCUCUUUCUCUUGCCAAGAAAGGAGAACACACACUGAGUCCGAGCUCUGCUGUCCCUGGGACUGCUCUGUCAUCUACCCUGGGAAAGUAGCCUCUCCCCUUUCUGCAGCCCAGUGGUGGUGGGAAGCCCCACAAGGACAACUUCCAUUCCUCCUUUUUCUAGCCCUAUCUGAACAUUCUCUCCAGUACGUCCAUCCUCAGCAUUUGAAUUUCCUCCUGCUCUCCUCUGUCCCCUUAGAGACUAAAGGCUGGUCCUCAGCUCACUCCAGCCACCACCCUCAGAUCCAACACCCCCAAGACUGGUUCCACCUCCCUGUGUUGCCACCUUGUGGUCACUGGGUCAGCUCUAAGCUUUACCCAGAGCUCCAUGGCUACUCCUGACUCCAUCCUGGCUGUUUCUCCCUGGGUGGUCUUGCCUGGGUCUCCACUCUGGGUUUUCUGCAGAUGGGACCCUCUGCCUCCCACAAGCCCCUGAACCCUCUC